CCGAACUUAGCUCAGUUGGCAGAGCGGUAGGCUGUAAUGGAGUAUUCAUAGAAACCUAUAGGUCCCCAGUUCAAAUCUGGGAGUUCGGA
rnacentral:tRNA from 1 species